UACGAAGGGGGCUAGCGUUGUUCGGAAUUACUGGGCGUAAAGCGCACGUAGGCGGAUAUUUAAGUCAGGGGUGAAAUCCCAGAGCUCAACUCUGGAACUGCCUUUGAUACUGGGUAUCUUGAGUAUGGAAGAGGUAAGUGGAAUUGCGAGUGUAGAGGUGAAAUUCGUAGAUAUUCGCAGGAACACCAGUGGCGAAGGCGGCUUACUGGUCCAUAACUGACGCUGAGGUGCGAA
rnacentral:rRNA from 1 species